AUUUAUUUGGCAAAAUGUGUGUGUGUGUGUGUGUGUGUGUGUGUAUAAUGUAUAUCCGUAUAUACAUUUUUAAUACACACACACACACACACACACACACACACACGAUUUCCAUAAAAU